rnacentral:rRNA from 1 species
UGGGGAAUAUUGCACAAUGGGCGAAAGCCUGAUGCAGCAACGCCGCGUGAGUGAUGAAGGCCUUCGGGUUGUAAAGCACUUUUGUCCGGAAAGAAAUCCGCCUGGCUAAUACCCGGGCGGGAUGACGGUACCGGAAGAAUAAGCACCGGCUAACUACGUGCCAGCAGCCGCGGUAAUACGUAGGGUGCGAGCGUUAAUCGGAAUUACUGGGCGUAAAGCGUGCGCAGGCGGUUAUGCAAGACAGGUGUGAAAUCCCCGGGCUCAACCUGGGAACUGCACUUGUGACUGCAUGACUAGAGUGCGUCAGAGGGAGGUGGAAUUCCGCGUGUAGCAGUGAAAUGCGUAGAGAUGCGGAGGAACACCGAUGGCGAAGGCAGCCUCCUGGGAUGACACUGACGCUCAUGCACGAAAGCGUGGGGA